AAUCCAUGCAUAGGGCGCUUCUGCAACAAAUCUUUAAAUCUUUCACAUGCUUCAUACAAGCUUUCAUCAUCCAUAUUCUUGAAUGAAGUUAAAUCUUUUUAAAGCUU